rnacentral:lncRNA from 10 species
UUUGGAGGGACUAGUGGAGUCAGUCACAGGGCCUCUCCCAGGCCUGUGCUCCCCCAUCUCUGACAACGCUCCAUCGCAACCCCAAGUUUUUCACUGGAUGGCAUUUUGUCUAAAAGUUCUCUCUGUGCCAUUGCUGAGAACUGUCCUCAUACCACACAGUGGCAGAGCUCACACUUGGAGGAAGAAUGAAUGAAUAUGGUCUGGGAAGACUUUUUCAACUCAUUCAGAUCCUGUGUGCAUUUAUUGAGCACCCAUUGUGUGCCAGUUGCCAUGAAAAGCUGUCGAACCAUCAGUGGCAACGCAGAGUGAGAGAAAAUGCGAAACUUCCGUUUCUUGCAUUGCUUCCAACCCUGGGUCUGUUCUGUGUGAUUGUGAUUGCAGGAGCUCAACUCAGGCUUGUUCUGUGAAGCCGGAACCCUUGGUGAUGGAGCCUCCGGGGAAUGAGCUGGUGCUGUGGCGCCCUCUGGUGUCCACGUGGCUUCCGCCAGGACUUGCAAGAGGCUGCGCAGAAGGCGCAAAGGAAGAUUUUUAAAAACAUCUGUCCAACUUUCCUUCCUCCUGCAAAAAGAAUGCUGCAGGUAGUGUGAGAGGUCUCAUGCCUGUCUCAUGCGCAAUAGUAUGAGUGAUAAGAUCGGCCUUUCAUGAGAAGAUAACGCAGCAAGCAUAACCCAAAUGGUGGGUCCCGGCCAGGGGGAUCUCUUCUCAGAACAGGUCUACGAAAGCCCAGGUUUGCUUUAGCUGUUUCUUUGCUAAAGCCAAACCCAGCUCUGCUUUCUCGAACAACCUGAGCCCGAAGGUCUUUACUCUACUCUGCUCUGUGUCUGCCAAGGACAAGAAAGAAGGAGAAAGGAUGCUGGGUCCGGAGAACGACUCCUUAGGAACGAGAAGAGAGAGGGACUAACAUAUACUUCCAGGACCCUGGUCCUGCCUCUGUGACCCGUCCUGCACUUUGAUCUCCUGGCGCUCCUCAGACUGGGCGGCUCCAGCUGUUUGACUCUGCAACUGACAUCGGUCAUACGCGCUCUGCUUUCACUCGGAGGCCGGGAUCUAGUCCCCAGCACUGGUCGGACCCCAUUUCCCUUUUCUUUCUCUUUCUUUGUUUCUUUCUUUCUUUCUUUUUCUUUCUUUCUUCUCGUUCUUUCUUUCCUUCUUUCCUUCUUUCUUUUUCUUUCUCUUUCUUUCUUUUCUCUUUCUCUCUCUCUCUUUCUUCCUUCCUUCCCUUCUUCCCUUCCUUCCCUUCUUCACUUCCUUCCCUUCCUUUCCUUCCCUCCCUUCCCUUCCUUUCCUUCCCUCUCCUUCCCUUCCUUUCCCUUUCUUUCCCUCCCCUCCCCCUUCCCUCUCCCCCUCCCCUCUCCCCCUGCCCUCCCUCCCUCUCUCCCUCCCUCCUUUCUUUCUUUCUCUCUCUCUCUCUUUCUUUCUUUUUCUUUCUUUCUUUCUUCUCCUUCCUUCCUUCCUUCCUUCCUCUUUCUUUCUCUCUUUCUCUCUUUCUUUCUUACAGAGUUUUGCUCUUGUUGCCCAGGCUGGAGCGCAAUGGCGCAAUCUCGGCUCACCACAUCCUCUGCCUCCUGGGUUCAAGUGAUUCUCCUGCCUCAGCCUCCUUAGUAGCUGGGAUUACAGGCAUGCGCCACCACGCCCAGCUGAUUUUGUAUUUUUAGUAGAGACAGGGUUUCUCCUUGUUGGUCAGGCUGGUCUCAAACUCCCGACCUCAGGGGAUCCACCCACCUCGGCCUCCCAAAGUGCUGGGAUUAUGGGCAUGAGCCACUGUGCCCGGCCGGACUCCCAUUUCUGAAUUUGCUUGUCAGGUCUCAUAACAGAUCACUGGAAGGAAGAAGCAUAGCCUGAUCACCCAGCCUGAUUGAGGAUGAAAUGGAAAUCUAGGGGUCAGAAGAAAAUGGGAAAGGAACCAUCAGCCUCAGUCAUUUCAACAGAGCCAACCCACAGACCAUGACCAAGCAAAUCUUGCCAUCGUGAUCAUGACCAGUUAGCAUUUAGAAUGUAUCGCUGUAUGCUUUGAUGAUUUUGAUGCUGCCUUUUUGGAUUUACCCUAUAAGAAAGACUCCCUGAACUCCAACACUAUCUCCAGCAUUAUUCACAUUUUCAGGCAGUGUGGUCCCCCAGCUAACAGCAUUAGCACCAGCUCAGAGCUUGCUAGAAAUGCAAAUGCUUAGACCUACUGAGUCAGGAAUUUGGGGCACGGGCCCAGCAAUCUGUGUUUUACAAAACCUCCCAGGUUUGCUGACUUCAGAGGAUUGCCUUUGUGUAAUUUCGGCACAGUGGGAAGUGACAGAGUAUCAACAGUCAUACUUCUAGAAUGAGAGCGAACCUUGGCGCUACUUUCCUGCUGGGAACAUCAGUGGCUCCUCUCUGCCUGGAGGAGAGGUUUCUCUGCUCAAGUCCAGCCCAGCUACUCACCAUCUCCUAAAAGCUUUGCCUCUGUUCUGUGCCUCUCCACUCUGCCUCAAUUCAUGGUUCCCUUCCCGACUUAGUGAGCUCUUCUAUGUCCGCCUAGGGCCCAGCUGAAAAGCCAAUACCUCUAUGAGAUCUUCCUAAUCCCCAGGGCAGAGUUAAGCCUGUCUUCCUCCCCAUUCAAGUCAUCAGACUUGCAUACACCAACAUUUCAGUAAGAACAUGUUGGAGUGUAAUUAUUUAUCUGUAUCUCUGUCUCUUCUACCAGACUGUGUUUUGCUCCUCAAUGACUCAGUUCUACUAUUCUCCAUGAUCAGUACCUGGCAUAUAAUGAGCGCUCAAUAAGUUUUCUGAAUGGAUGAAUGAAUAGAUGAGCCAAAAGUAAGGAAAUAACUCAGGCUAGGUUUUAUGGCAGGGUUUACCAACAGAGCAAAUCAUCUGCCACCGCCAUCACCAGUCCCAAAGUUAGUUGCACAUCAGAGGUCCCAGCGGGAGACAGGCCAUCCCAAUGGUGCUCACAUCACCACUGCCAUCUGCAACCCUCAAAGAGGGGGCCUGCCUAUUUCCCCACUUUGAGAAUCAUUGUGAGUUAUGAGAGAUGUUACUGAUGGGACUGUGUUGGCCUAUGAAUGGUGUGAGAACAGAAAAAAUAGUUGAAGAUCAUUGUUUUCAGGGUUUUCUUUAGAGAAAAAAAGGCAUUACACUACAAAAGAUACAUAGGUACCUAAUAUUCAUCAGAAACUUACUCGCAACAAGAUCCUGAUGCCAGUUAGUAUAUUUCUAGUACUAGAACCCCUCCUGGGCUCUUUUCUCACUCAGCAGUUUAUCAGUGGAGCAAGUUGUCCACCACCACCACCACCACCAGCAGCCCCAAAGUUAGCUGCACAUUCAAGGAUAUCUGCUCUCAAGAACGCAGAAUUAGCCAAAAUGUGAAGGGUACAUCAAUCCAACAAAAAUAAAACUUUUGUCUUGAGGGCGUUAUAUCUCUUUGGGGCUUGUUGAAUUUUCCAUUUUUUUUUCUGAAAGCAAUAUGAAUAGUUUCUUUUUUUAGUUUUCAUCUUGUUUACAUAGGUGGUUGAUGGCAAACCCAGAAGAUUGACUUAAUUUAUGGAAAUGAUUCACAUUUGUAGUUAGGUUUUCCAUAAAGUGAAAAGCUGAUCAGUUUUCAUCUGUAAAAAGGAGCAGAAGUCUUCACCAGUCUGUAAAAGCUCAAGUGCCAGCCACCUUUUUAUAUUUUCCAGGAGUCAAUGAAAAUCCACAGAGGAUUCAGAGACAAUUCAAAUCAGUGACACAUAAACAGGCACCCUUUACUAUGUACUGACUUUGUGCCAAGAACUUUAAAAUCAUGAUCUUAUUUAAUUCUCAUGGCAACCCUGUGGGCUAGGUAUUUCAGUCCUUGCUUUAUAGACAUGGAAACUAAAGCUCAAAGAGGGUAAGUCACUUCCCUAAGGCCACAGAGUUAUGCCCCAGCUCCAGCCAGUCCGUGUCACAUCGUCCAAUUCUCCCACAGAAACUGAGUAUCCUGAUUUUUAUGGAAGGAUACUAAAAUGUUGGUAAUCAAUUAACAAACAAUUUAAAACUCUGAGCAGGCAUACAGGACCCAUCUGGUCUGUGGGCCCUGGUGGGACCAGCUGUGGUCCUUGCUGUGACUAUUUCUCUGUUCAGCCUCUCCCUCUCCCCAGUCCUGCUUCCUUCCCUCCUUGACAGUGCUGAUGUUGAGAGCAUGUCCCAGUAACUUCCUGCACUGCAUUCCCCAUCCCCGAGUCUAUUUCUGUCUAAGAACCUAGUAGACAUGGAAAGGAGGAACAGUCUGAUUAAGUGAGCAUUUUAUCCCCAAAAAAUUAUACAAAGUUCUAAAUGAUUGAGUCUGAAGGAGUUUUCAGAAUUAAACUAAAUUUACUGCUCACUUCUUUGACCUCUUGUCCCCAUUGUUAUCCAGCAAAGUGGCAGCUCAUGGGAAGGAUUCAACCCAUCAUAGAUAAAGAAGCUACGUAUAGAUGUGUGUAUAGAUUAGUAGCUCUGCCAUCUCUGCUUAUGAAACGGAAUGAACCUGAAAUGGCAGUGAAUCAUGGUGUGCUGGCAAAUGUUUAACAACUGGCAAUCUAAGAAAGGAAAAAAAAAAGUCCUAAUUGAUAGUGCUGCUUAUUUCUGCGGUGUAAAUACUCCCACCAUGGCUGAUUUCAAGCUACCUACGUGAGCUCACUGAAUGCUGGUUGGGAAGAGACAUACCCGUCAGCUCUUGCAGGCAGGUAUGAGCAACUUCAGCACACUGGCCGUGAACUUCUUUUCUCCUUAGCAGGACAUUAAUUUUACUUAUUUUACAAACUCCGAUCAAGUCAAAGAUAGUAGUGUCAUAAUUCCAAAGGUCAAGCUUGUCUGUGUUUUGUUUGGCUUUUUAACAUUUAUUUUAGUUUUGGGAGUACAUGUGCUUACCAGUCAGCAGUGAUGUAAGCACUUGGCUGAGUAAUGCAAUUCAAUUCAACAGACAUUUCUUCAGCACCAGCUGCAUUCAGGAUGGUGCGUUAGUUCCUGUGAGAUGCUCAAAGAACAAAGGACGAGGCUCUGACAUGAUGCUGCGUCAAAACUACACAGAGAUUCUGGAGAGUAAGCUCUUGCCCUAGGGAACAGCUGGACAAGACCAUGGGUUUUUAUGUCCUUUUCUCCUGGGACCCACAUUCCAGAGGCAAUAACAUCUAUUGUUCCUGGGUUCUGAUCCUCAAUCUAUUGCUUUGUCAUCUUUCACUAGUGAUAACCCAGUCUGGGUGUAGAUAGAUAGAUAGAUAAAUAGAUAGAUAGAUAAUGUCCAGCUUUUCUAUUUACUCUUAGUGGGAGGGUUGCUCUAAGACAAGCUAUUCCAUCAUAGCUAGAACAGAAGAUGCAAACCCUGAUUUUUCAAUGCUGGCAAAGAAUCUAAUUUUUUUUUUUUUUUUUGAGAAAGAAUCUAAUUUUUAAAAUAUGUUGUGUGAUCCAACACUUAAAAGCCAAAUAAAACAUAUCUUUAGGCCACAGCCAGUUUUGGCCCACAGGCUGCCAACCUGUGACCUCUGGUGUAUUGGAAUGCAAGCGAGUAAGAGUUCUGCUUCAAUCGGGAGGCCUUGACUCUUAUGAUUUAUGUUUGUAGUGUGUAGAGUCCAGCUUUGAAGAGGACUGGACUCUCUUUGGUCAGCAACCAGAGUAUAGACAUCUGAAUCCACCUUCCCCCCGGCUUUCCCCCAAAUUGGUUUCUUAUUCCUGGGGACCCAAAAGAGAAAAGUGAUUGCAUGAGAUCAAUGAAAUAAGUACUGGGCCUGGAGUCAGAUUGGACCUAGGUUCUAAUCCUGAUUCUGCCACUUAUUAGUUACGUGACUUUGCAUAAGCCACUUAACUUGCUUUGGGUGUAAGUUUCUUGAAAUGUUGUUAAAAUUCCCUUCAUAGGAUUCAAAUUGUUGACAUAAUUUAAUAAUAAUGAGACUGUCCUGGGUAUGUGGCAGAUACCUAACACAUAUCAUGCUAGAGCCAGGUCCCACUUCCCAGGGAAUCCUCUUUUCUUUGGCCUCUCUUUCUCUUGCCCCUGUUCAGACCUGCAGGUCCUUUGAUCCAUUGUGUCUCCAACCCCAGAUCCUUUGGUCUUUGAAACAGGAGACGAAGAGGCAGCUCCUGUCUGCUCCCCACACUUAGUCACUGUAAUAUAUCCACCAGAGGAGUCAGGAGCUCCAGCCCAUAGGCCAUCAGAGCAGCAUAACUCCACCCUGGGCUGGUGUGAUUUAUUUCUGGGAAGGCUGGGGCUUGAAGAGAGGGGAGGUUUAAGAAUUAACUCCUCAUAAAACUUAAACAAGUAAAGAAGAGAAAGCAAUAGAGUCAUCUGGUGUCACUUUAGGCUCAUCAGCUUUCCAACUUUCCCCAACUUUGGAGAAAAGAAGACAUACUGAAUUGUUAAUUAAUGGGGCCUUCUAGAUGUUACGCGUGCAAGAUAAUAUGGGUAUCACACUGCCUCCAAUCACACAAUGCUGGCCAUAUAUUUUGCUGUUGUAGUUGUUUUAAACAAACAGAAAACUGUGAGGUCAGUGAUAAAGCAUUGAGAAACGCCCCAUGCCGUUUCUUUUGGGGUUCAGCCGUUUCUGAAAUCAAAGAACUGCAAGAUGAUUUAGAAACAUCUUCAGCCAAACCCAAACUGUUGACUGAUUUUGGGAAAAACCCUGAAAGCAAAUAUUCUACAUGCCAUAAGACUAAGAAGAGCUGAAGAAGCCAGCCAGAAUCUGUAGGCCUUAAGAAUAAAUAUUGGGCAGAGAUGGAGAAAGGAGAAAGUAUGGUGAAGAACAAUUAAUGUGGAUAAUUCAAAGACAUUGGACAAUCCAGAGGUCCUCAUUUGACCUGUGUUGCUAUAGUCUAAUGUUCUAGAUUUAAUUUAUAUGGUGUUUAAAGGCAAGAAUAAAAGACCAAAGAAAGGAGAGGCCUUUUUGAAGUGUCUCUGUUAAUUUUAUUAACCUGAAGAAGAAAUUAUUAAUUUGGUAGAAGGUGAACCUAUGUUCACCAGCCAGGUAAGGUUAAAAACUCAUUGAAUGCUCACAAAAGCCCCGGGAGGUCAUUGUUUCUUAUCUGAUCUGGUGCCAGCAAUGCCAGAAUUCAAACCCGCCUCUCUCCUGUGCUCCA